AGAGUUUGAUCCUGGCUCAGGAUGAACGCUGGCGGCGUGCCUAACACAUGCAAGUCGAGCGAUCUUCUUCGGAAGAGAGCGGCGGACGGGUGAGUAACGCGUGGGUAACCUGCCUCAUACACAUGGAUAACAUACCGAAAGGUAUGCUAAUACAAGAUGAUAUAAGAGAUUCGCAUGGAUUUCUUAUCAAAGCUCCGGCGGUAUGAGAUGGACCCGCGUCUGAUUAGCUAGUUGGUAAGGUAACGGCUUACCAAGGCGACGAUCAGUAGCCGACCUGAGAGGGUGAUCGGCCACAUUGGAACUGAGACACGGUCCAAACUCCUACGGGAGGCAGCAGUGGGGAAUAUUGCACAAUGGGCGAAAGCCUGAUGCAGCAACGCCGCGUGAGCGAUGAAGGCCUUCGGGUCGUAAAGCUCUGUCCUCAAGGAAGAUAAUGACGGUACUUGAGGAGGAAGCCCCGGCUAACUACGUGCCAGCAGCCGCGGUAAUACGUAGGGGGCUAGCGUUAUCCGGAUUUACUGGGCGUAAAGGGUGCGUAGGUGGUUUCUUAAGUCAGGAGUGAAAGGCUACGGCUCAACCGUAGUAAGCUCUUGAAACUGGGAAACUUGAGUGCAGGAGAGGAAAGUGGAAUUCCUAGUGUAGCGGUGAAAUGCGUAGAUAUUAGGAGGAACACCAGUAGCGAAGGCGGCUUUCUGGACUGUAACUGACACUGAGGCACGAAAGCGUGGGGAGCAAACAGGAUUAGAUACCCUGGUAGUCCACGCCGUAAACGAUGAGUACUAGGUGUCGGGGGUUACCCCCCUCGGUGCCGCAGCUAACGCAUUAAGUACUCCGCCUGGGGAGUACGCUCGCAAGAGUGAAACUCAAAGGAAUUGACGG
rnacentral:rRNA from 1 species